rnacentral:sRNA from 1 species
AGACGCGGCUGGAGGCCAAGGUCAAGUUGAAAGUUACUGUCUAGCCAUCCAG